AAUUUUAAAAUGUGUUUGGUGGAUUUGGGCGGGAUUUUUCCCGCUUAUAGUAUUAGGGGCGACAAAAAUCGCCCCUAAAAAUUUGACUUCUGACACUCUACUUAUUAAGGGUGACUUUUAGAGGCGACAAUUGUCGCCCCAAAAAGUUGUUUCAUUAAAAAUCAUUUCGUCUUCCCCGAGCCCCAUUCUUUGUUACCCUAAAAAAAUCUAAAAAUCUCUCUCUCUCUCAAAUUUCUUUAUUACCACCAAUGGUGGUCUCUUACCACCGGUCGUCGUCCCCUCCCAAGGCCUGAACGAAGUCCUCCACCAAAUCUAAAACCCCUCGAAACGCCGCCCAAACUUCAAGUCUUCCCUCCCUUACUUCGUUCUCUCUCGUUUCCUUUUGCUCUGCCGCCCAAACAAGCCCACAACGGAGUACGAUGAUGGACGAACAUCGAGCUGGGGAUCACGAAUGUCAGGGCUUCGAUGGAUCAGGAAGGAAUGCACCCAUUGCAGCCAAGUCUCCGUCUCAGGCGGCGUCCUAAAGCUGGUGCAACCAAGUUACCAAAUUAGUAAAAUUUGCUGAUUUGUGUAGCAGUGUGACUCCAAGUUCAGAAUUGUCUAUGAAAGCUCAAUCACCGAACGUCAGAUCCAAAGAUUUAUAUCUACGUUACAACAACAUUAUCAACAACUACUUUAUUGUUUUUUUUUCUUUUGUAUUUAAACUAUUUUAGUAAUGUUGUUUGUAUUUUUGUACUAGUUAAUGCCUUUUUAUUUUAGUAUUUAUGCUAUAGUAUUAGAUUAUCAAAUUUAUAUUAUGUUACAUUUGAACAUUUAUGUUAUUGUAUCACCAUUAUCAAAUUUAUAUUAUGUUACGUAUAAAAAUUUAUGCUAUUAUAUUAUUCUAA